AGCGAACGCUGGCGGCAGGCCUAACACAUGCAAGUCGAACGAACUCUUCGGAGUUAGUGGCGGACGGGUGAGUAACACGUGGGAACGUGCCUUUAGGUUCGGAAUAACUCAGGGAAACUUGUGCUAAUACCGAAUGUGCCCUUCGGGGGAAAGAUUUAUCGCCUUUAGAGCGGCCCGCGUCUGAUUAGCUAGUUGGUGAGGUAAAGGCUCACCAAGGCGACGAUCAGUAGCUGGUCUGAGAGGAUGAUCAGCCACAUUGGGACUGAGACACGGCCCAAACUCCUACGGGAGGCAGCAGUGGGGAAUCUUGCGCAAUGGGCGAAAGCCUGACGCAGCCAUGCCGCGUGAAUGAUGAAGGUCUUAGGAUGGUAAAAUUCUUUCACCGGGGACGAUAAUGACGGUACCCGGAGAAGAAGCCCCGGCUAACUUCGU
rnacentral:rRNA from 1 species